CAGCCGCCGCGGUAAAACGGAGGGUGCAAGCGUUAUCCGGAUUUAUUGGGUUUAAAGGGUCCGUAGGCGGAUCUGUAAGUCAGUGGUGAAAUCUCACAGCUUAACUGUGAAACUGCCAUUGAUACUGCAGGUCUUGAGUAAAUUUGAAGUGGCUGGAAUAAGUAGUGUAGCGGUGAAAUGCAUAGAUAUUACUUAGAACACCAAUUGCGAAGGCAGGUCACUAAGAUUUAACUGACGCUGAUGGACGAAAGCGUGGGGAGCGAACAGGAUUAGAUACCCCAGUAGUCCCUGUCUCUUAUAA
rnacentral:rRNA from 1 species